rnacentral:rRNA from 1 species
UCCGGUUGAUCCUGCCGGAGGCCACUGCUAUGGGGGUCCGACUAAGCCAUGCGAGUCAUGGGGCGCGCUCUGCGCGCACCGGCGGACGGCUCAGUAACACGUCGGUAACCUACCCUCGGGAGGGGGAUAACCCCGGGAAACUGGGGCUAAUCCCCCAUAGGCCUGAGGUACUGGAAGGUCCUCAGGCCGAAAGGGGCUUUGCCCGCCCGAGGAUGGGCCGGCGGCCGAUUAGGUAGUUGGUGGGGUAACGGCCCACCAAGCCGAAGAUCGGUACGGGCCAUGAGAGUGGGAGCCCGGAGAUGGACACUGAGACACGGGUCCAGGCCCUACGGGGCGCAGCAGGCGCGAAACCUCCGCAAUGCGGGCAACCGCGACGGGGGGACCCCCAGUGCCGUGGCAUCGCCACGGCUUUUCCGGAGUGUAAAAAGCUCCGGGAAUAAGGGCUGGGCAAGGCCGGUGGCAGCCGCCGCGGUAAUACCGGCGGCCCGAGUGGUGGCCGCUAUUAUUGGGCCUAAAGCGUCCGUAGCCGGGCCCGUAAGUCCCUGGCGAAAUCCCACGGCUCAACCGUGGGGCUUGCUGGGGAUACUGCGGGCCUUGGGACCGGGAG